rnacentral:lncRNA from 1 species
UCUCAUGGUCAACCUCAUUGACGAGACACACUGGUAUCGAUUCAGUCCCAGAUGAUAGGUCACGUAGUACAACCCUGCCUCUUGUUGAUGGAUCUUGUAUCCAUCGCUGAGUCAUCUUCCAGAUUGCAGCUCCAUCACGCUGUCCAGGUUCACGGUGCAACCUGUACUUGAAGCAAUUGAUGCCAAAUUUUGUUUUCUCCUUCCAGGACUCUUGGAUCUUAUAAAGGCCAUCAUAUAUGUAGAUUUUGCCAGCUACCAUAGCUGGAUCUUUGAAUCCCCUCACAACCCUUAUCUCAUUCUUCCUGUGCGUACUCCUCUCAAGGGCAAGGUUGCCCCUCUCAAGCUUCUGGUC